AGGAUCAUUUGCAAUGGGCGAAAGCCUGACAAUGCGACGCUGCGUGCAGGAUGAAGGCCUUCGGGUCGUAAACUGCUGUUAGGAGGGACAAGGACGCGGGGCCGAACAAGUCCCGCCGUUUGAUUGUACUUCCAGAGAAAGUCUCGGCUAACUCUGUGCCAGCAGCCGCGGUAAUACAGAGGCGACGAGCGUUGAUCGGAUUUACUGGGCGUAAAGCGUGCGCAGGCGGCGGAUCAUGUCCGAUGUGAAAGCCCGGGGCCCAGCCCCGGAAGUGCAUCGGAAACCGGUUCGCUAGAGGCCGGGAGAGGAGUCUGGAACACAUGGUGUAGCGGUGAAAUGCGUUGAUCUCAUGUGGAACACCGGAGGCGAAGGCGAGACUCUGGAACGGCACUGACGCUCAUGCACGAAAGCGUGGGGAGCAAACA
rnacentral:rRNA from 1 species